rnacentral:lncRNA from 1 species
GUGAAGUCAUUUUAUUCAAGGCACGGUCAUAGCAAUAAAUCACAAGAAGGUACAGACCUCUGGCACAUUCCUACAGCGGGGCAGCCAAGGGCAGUCAGACCAGCAGCCCGAGCUCCCGAUGGUGCAGUGCCACUCACAGGCACUUGCUCCCACCCCGAGAGAAGCCACCAGCACCCCGCAUCUCCCAGAGCCGGCAGUGAGGGCAGCGCCUCAGUUGCAGGCAGCCCCCUCCAGGGGCACCUAGGCAGGGAGCCAUGAGACCCCAGGGUGCUCUUUGGGGUUGGGAGGGAGGGGCUGAGAUCAAGGCUCCUCUGAGGCAACCCCUGGGUGGCUACUGUGCCACAGCCACUGUGCUGGCAUGCAGGAGCGUGGGAUGGGGCACGGGACUGCCAGUUGGCCAAGGUGAGACCCACCAGCCCCACGGGGAUGCCACCGGGCCCUGUUGAGUACAAUGGAGACCCACAGCUUCCUGCUGGCCUGCCUUUAACCCCCCCAGACUGACACAUUGUGCCCCCUCAGCAGCACCAGUAAUGCUAAGCAGUGCCAUAGCUGAGCCUCUGCCUUCGCGCAGCAGCACUCCCCAUGCCAGCAGUCCUGGUGCUGGCAGACCCACGUUAUCAUCCCUCCCUCCCUGCAGGUCCUGGGAUAGUGGCUAGAAUUGUUCUGAAGCCAGCAGGGAAAUUGGGAGCAGGAAAAUCAGCCCCAAGGCCAAAGCAGGGCCAAGCGAGGAGACAGCAUACCCUGGUGGGCUAGCCUGGUGGGAGAGGGGCCAAGCCGGGUGAGGAUCUGCCCUUGUCCCCAGGGGCCGCCCCAGCUGCUGUAGAUGAGCUGGAAACCCUCCAGGAUGCUGCCUGGGCAGAAGUCAGCACAUUUACAAUGAUCACAGCAGGACUGACCCUCAAGAGGCAGUGUGGCUGCUGGGGGAGAUCCCAUGGCUGUGGCUUGCGGGCAAGGGCAGGAUGCAGUGGACCAGAAACUCUGAGGCUUGGGUCCUUCCAGCCCCCUUCCUUCCCCCCCAUUUCUGUUGCAACAGGACAGAGCUAGACAGGGUCCCAUGGCCCACCCCAAAGAGAGCAUGAGAGGGAUGCUGCUGGGGUGAGUGGGAUGAUGAGGAGCUGCCCUCACAGCCAUUAAACACGCUUGUCCCUUGACCUCCCAUUCCUUCCCAAAGACCCAAGAGCACAGGCAUGGCACUGUGGGGCUGAAGGAAUGGGGUGGGAGGCCCAGGGGAGAGCUCGACUUGCGUUUUGAUGCCUGCCUCGGGGCAGGGCCAAUGCAGGAGCAGCCCGGGGCACUCACCUCCUACAUGAAAGCACACAGGUCUCAGCAGUCCCUGCUUUAAUGGACAAAGCCACAGAGGCAGCAGCAGGAAUGGCCAGGAGCCCGCAUGGCAGCUGGAUGGCCACCAUGAGCAAUGGGUAGUCAGGGUGGGAAACAAGGGUUAGGGGUGGCCGUCCCCUGCCAGUGGGGACCCGCAGGACAGUGUGGGUCGUCCCUCUCCUACUCCCAAAAGCAUGGCCUCUCAGAAACAACCUCUCCCCGCACCACCGCACCCCAUCUUCCCCACAAUGGGCUGGAAGAGGCAGGUGGGGACAGCGGAACACAGGGCAGGGGCUAAGCGGGUCCAGGCAGUGGGAGGGACCAGCAGAGCCUCCUGCCACCUCCCCUGCAACGGGGUCUCCCCCUCACAUCAGCCCUGUCGUCACCCCACCCCGUCAGUGAGGUGGCCCACACCAGUGCCGGGAAGGCCCCUGCCUUCCUGCCCCCUGGCACAUCUUCCACUCUUGUCCUUCACUCUCGGUACGGCUGGUCCUCGCCCUGGCAGUGGGGAUGCUCACUGGUAGCGGGCCUGGCUCUCCAUCACGGGGCCGCUCCUGUACUCGCCCUCCACUGUCUCCAGCUCUGUUUCGAAGCUCUGC